CAAAAAUUUACUUUAAAUUACUUAUAUAACUUAGUUUUCUUUAUGUAUUCUAUAUGUUAUUUGGGGGGUGGUUUUUAAUAGACAGUUUGAUAUAAUGAUAUAAAAAACAUCAUGAGAAUGUAAUCUGUGAGAAUGCGAUUUAAUGUACACUUUAAAUAUAUAUUGGAAAAUAGUAAAAAAAAUAAAUGCCUAAAUAUGCAUUAUGCACUGAUUCACAAUAUUGGUGGACUUACUUGUUUACAAUGCCAUUUACUUCACUAUUGUCGAUUUUUAGGCCAUUUUGUUGAACCCGCCCUAUAUUGUAUAUCUAAUAUGUAGCUGUGACACUUGGCAAAGCUGGGCAAGACCUAAAGUUCAACAAAACUUGCCAAUAAAAUCAGUGCUGGAAAUUCACUUUUUCCGGUUGGGG